CCCAAUUUAUCAUAUCACGAUUAUUUCAGUCUCAAAUUAUACCUCAAUGUCCUCUCUCGUCCCUAUCAGUUGCCACUGCUACGGAGGUACUCAUUUUGUUUAUAUUUUUUUCUUGUCUGUUAAAGUAUUUUAAGAUGGAGAAUCUGAUUUAGGGUGAGCUAUGGAGUUGGAGGGUUUUGUGCCUUCACUUUCGUGUGCUGGGUAGUGGGUGGUUGGAUUAUUUUCAGAUUUUGAUAGGAUUACGGAAUCACAUUAUGAGAUUAUGAUUUAUUGCUCGAAUAUUGAAUGGGAUUCUAGGAAUAGGAUUUAUUGCUAACAUAUUCUAGCUCCUUUUAAAUAUUGAAUGGGAAUCCAAAAUGGGAUUAGGAUUAUAUUCAAUCUGUGUUUCUAACUCAAAAGCUAAAUAUAAAAAAACUAGUUUGGUAAAUUUGAGUGUUUGCUUCUAAAUCUUCCUACGGUUUUAAGAGAUUUCGGGUAAGUGAACGAAAAUUUCUAAUUUCCCUUUUGCUAGAACAAUAUGUAUAAUGCUUAGCCAUAUAUGCUAGUACAUAAAUUUCCCUUUUGCUGCAACAAACAGAAAUUUUAUUGUUAGGCAUCAUCAGUAAACAACAAAAGAUAGGGACUGCUGCAAGUUAACAAUUACCUCAUUAAAUGGCCAUAAAUUGCAGCCCCUGCAGGAGGUAGAUUCUUUCCUUAUUAAAAUACUUUUGAGGUUCGAUAAAUUUAUUUUUACCAUUUACAAAUUUGGUUGUGUAAACAUGUCUUGUUAGUUGUUGGCACAAUAUCGAGAAAUAGCUGCCCUUGCUCUAUUUGGGUCAGAUAUUAUGCUACAACUCAAGUUCCCUAAUGGCCUCCCAUAUCUUGCUUACUUCUUUAUUUAAGUUGGGAUGAGACUUUUCGUGAGUUUCUUUUCUUCAUUCUAGGCUAACAAGUUGUGAAGAAAUCAAAUUCAUUUCUUUCCCCACUUAAAUGCCCCAUGGCAGGCACAUUCUAUAGAAGUCAUGCACCUGGUGAAUCACCAUUCAUGAAGGCCUUUAAUCGCUUUUGUGGAGAAUUGUAUUUUGAAAGUGGGGAUCCAUUCUUUUCAGCAAGUUAUAAAACCUAUUAUGGAUGAUUCAAUUCAGAAGGUGAGUGCCGACAAUGCAUCUCCUGAUGAGGACUUAAACGAUAAUCCAGUUUAUACAGGGACGGAAAUUAAAGGAAAAGAAGGACUUGCAAUUCUUUGGAGAUUGUCACUAAUUCUUUAGCUUACUACUGGAUUAUUUUAUAAAAAAAGUACUUGCAAUUGUUGAGAGGAAUGAGGGUUGGGGGGAGCAGCACAUGACACUAAAGCUUGGUACAAGGGCAUCCUGAAAUAUCAUUAAUUUCAAUAUAAAUUAGAUGAAGAGAAGUUGGUUAUGUUUUUCAAUAGCAUGCUUGCAUUUUUUACAUUAUGUAUUCAAGUGUAUGAGAAAAUAUUGUCAUGCUUCACAUUAUGCAUUCAAAAUUUGUAAUGAAAUUAUCAAAUUUUAUACAGUUCCAAAAUUUAUUAU